CCUACGGGUGGCAGCAGUGGGGAAUAUUGGGCAAUGGAGGAAACUCUGACCCAGCAACGCCGCGUGAAGGAUGAAGGUUUUCGGAUUGUAAACUUCUGUCGCGAGGGACGAAGAAUGACGGUACCUCGUAAGAAAGCCCCGGCAAACUACGUGCCAGCAGCCGCGGUAAUACGUAGGGGGCGAGCGUUGUCCGGAAUGACUGGGUGUAAAGGGCGUGUAGGCGGGACUGCAAGUCAGAUGUGAAAACCACGGGCUCAACCUGUGGCCUGCAUUUGAAACUGUAGUUCUUGAGUACUGGAGAGGCAGACGGAAUUCCUAGUGUAGCGGUGAAAUGCGUAGAUAUUAGGAGGAACACCAGUGGCGAAGGCGGUCUGCUGGACAGCAACUGACGCUGAGGCGCGAAAGCGUGGGGAGCAAACAGGAUUAGAUACCCCAGUAGUC
rnacentral:rRNA from 1 species